AUCAUGCGCCGUGUGGCGCUGCGGCGCGCGGCAGGGGCUGAGUUCGCGGAGGCGGCUGAGACGCUGCAUUGGGCGGCUAGAAGUGCUCGGCGUGCUGGCUCCCGGGAGAGGAAGGUCCAGGGCGGGCCGGAGACAUGCACACCACAGAGCGUGGCGAUGGAACAGUAACCGGGCUUGUGAGAGGGCUCUACAAUAUCAACUAGGAGACAAGAUCCACGGAUUCACCAUAAACCAGCUAGUGAUUAUACUCUGUAUCCAUUUUCCACACAAAAUCCCAAGGACCUUCAGAAUCUCCUCUCGGUGUAUUUGGACGCCACCUUUUUCCCAUGUUUACGCGAGCUGGAUUUCUGACAGACAAUGAGAGGAUAUUCCCCCAACACCUUCAAAACAGACUUCUUCCCAACCACACAUACUCAGUGGUCUCCGGGGGUGACCCACUGUGCAUCCCGGAGCUUACAUGGGAGCAGCUUAAGCAAUUUCAUGCCACUCACUAUCACCCAAGCAAUGCCAGAGACAGAGUCUCGCCGUGGUGCCCAGGCUGGUCUCGAUCUCCUGAGUUCAAACAGUUUGCCCACCUUGACCUCCAAAGUGCUGGGAUUACAGGCGUGAGCCACUGUGCCCAACAUGGAGAAGAGAGUUCUUUCUUUUCUUCUUUUUCCCCCCAGUCGUCUUUUUGUUUUUUAGUACCACUGUGACCUCACAAAUAUUUCUGUAUAUGUAUAUAUUUGAGACUAUGUGAUCAGUUGGAAUUUAUUUAUUUUUAUGCCCACAUUUACCACAGCUGUUGGCCCAUUUUGGUCUCACUUCUUUGGUUUCUAUGCCCCCACCCCCACCUCCCUAAUGCAGGCACAGCCAGGCCCUCCUGCUCCAGAGGCUCAACUCUCUGUUUCCCAGGGAGCUCUGAUUUCUGUGGCUAGUGGGGAAGGGCCUUUGGAGAGUAGUAUCUGGACACUAGGGGUGGUGAUUUCUCCUGGAUUCUCUCAACCCUGAGAGUGUAACAUUUGUUUCUAAAUUCUAGAAUGAGAAAUUUCUGAAGGUUCUUUAAAAUACUAGUUCCCCAAACCUUAACCAUAGCUCAGGCAACAUAGUAAAGAAAAAGAUAAAUUCUGUCAUUGUAACCUUUUUCCUCUGGUUGAAUAAAUGUGUUAUCUUUAUUAACAUGUAUAACCUUGAACUUGUUGCCAAAAAUUGAGUUUUGUGAAAUUGUCAGUUGGAUUACUCUAUUACUGUACCUAGGGUUAUAAAGUAUUUUAACAAAUA